rnacentral:lncRNA from 1 species
AGGAAUUAAUGGAGAAUUCAGAGAAAUCAGAGCUUCUACCCCACCACCCUCUGUCAUUGCACUGCCCUGGCACAUGGGCACAACGUCUUCUGAGAAGGGACACAAACUGCUCAGACAUGCGGCAUCCUCCCUGUAGUCCUCCUUUCCUGGCCAGUUGGAGAACGAUCUCUGCCUUUCACUUCUGAACAGCUUCCAGCAUGCCCCAUAGGGAACAUUUUGGAUUUGAAUGAAGAGCAUAAAAAUGUGGUCAGCAUAUUGGCCUUGGUAUUUGAUUUUCUUUUUUCCAUGCAACCGGCCCCAGGAGGUGACUGACAAGUUGGGCCAAGUGCACUGAAAGCCCUGUCUCGGCUGGCCCAUAACUCCUGAGCUACACAGACCCCUAAGGACCCCGUGAGCCAGCAGAGAGCCAUAAAUCCAGCAAGCUGGAGGCUGGGAGCUCACUGAUUGCACUGGGGAAAAGCAGCCUGAUCUGAUUGCUAUGUGUGCUGGAGAGAGAAAAGGUGGUAACUGGAGUGCUGGAAAUACAACGACUUUGGAACAAAAUGAAGCAACAGAGGAAUGGCAGGAGUUUGUAACUAAGGUCAAACAGAUGUGGGAGGGUGUCGGGAUGGGAAAGCAAGAUCGGGGGACCCAGAGAAGCCGGAAGAAGCAACGAGGAGGCCAACAUAUUUACUGCCCAAUUACUAUCACAGAAGCCUUCUUGCCUGAGUAUGCAAUGUGACCAGGAAAACCCUGGAGGAAACAUGUACACAACUUGUGUUUCCUUACUUUUAAGGGUAAGAGUGGAAAACAGAUAGUCCCCAUGGAGUAGAUUGUCCAAAAUACACAUCUGUCUUCUGGGAAAGAGGACAUAGGGGAUGUAACAGACAGAACCAAGAAGCAUGUACCCUGAGCAUGCUCACCUCAGACAAGGGGUGCAUCAGGGACCUGGCUGGAGGAUCAAGCACAGGGAUCUCCAUGGCAUCGGUCCAGAGUCACAGCUC